ACGGGUGAGUAACACGUGGGAACGUACCUUUCGGUUUGGAAUAAUUCAGGGAAACUUGGACUAAUACCGGAUACGCCCUUCGGGGGAAAGAUUUAUCGCCGAAAGAUCGGCCCGCGUCUGAUUAGCUAGUUGGUGAGGUAAAGGCUCACCAAGGCGACGAUCAGUAGCUGGUCUGAGAGGAUGAUCAGCCACAUUGGGACUGAGACACGGCCCAAACUCCUACGGGAGGCAGCAGUGGGGAAUAUUGGACAAUGGGCGCAAGCCUGAUCCAGCCAUGCCGCGUGAGUGAUGAAGGCCUUAGGGUUGUAAAGCUCUUUUGUCCGGGAAGAUAAUGACUGUACCGGAAGAAUAAGCCCCGGCUAACUUCGUGCCAGCAGCCGCGGUAAUACGAAGGGGGCUAGCGUUGCUCGGAAUCACAGGGCGUAAAGGGCGCGUAGGCGGACUUUUAAGUCGGAGGUGAAAGCCCAGGGCUCAACCCUGGAAUUGCCUUCGAUACUGGGAGUCUUGAGUUCGGAAGAGGUUGGUGGAACUGCGAGUGUAGAGGUGAAAUUCGUAGA
rnacentral:rRNA from 1 species